GAUGAACGCUAGCGGGAGGCCUAACACAUGCAAGCCGAGCGGGAUUCGGUAAUUAGCUUGCUAAUUAUUGAUGAGAGCGGCGUACGGGUGCGGAACACGUGUGCAACCUGCCUUUAUCUGGGAGAUAGCCUUUCGAAAGGAAGAUUAAUAUCCCAUAAUAUAUUUGCUGGCAUCAGUAGAUAUUGAAAGCUCCGGCGGAUAAAGAUGGGCACGCGCAAGAUUAGAUAGUUGGUGAGGUAACGGCUCACCAAGUCAGUGAUCUUUAGGGGGCCUGAGAGGGUGAUCCCCCACACUGGUACUGAGACACGGACCAGACUCCUACGGGAGGCAGCAGUGAGGAAUAUUGGACAAUGGGUGAGAGCCUGAUCCAGCCAUCCCGCGUGAAGGAAUAAGGUCCUAUGGAUUGUAGACUUCUUUUGUAUAGGGAUAAACCUAUCUACGUGUAGACAGCUGAAGGUACUAUACGAAUAAGCACCGGCUAACUCCGUGCCAGCAGCCGCGGUGAUACGGAGGGUGCAAGCGUUAUCCGGAUUUAUUGGGUUUAAAGGGUCCGUAGGCGGAUCUGUAAGUCAGUGGUGAAAUCUCGCAGCUUAACUGUGAAACUGCCAUUGAUACUGCAGGUCUUGAGUAAAUUUGAAGUGGCUGGAAUAAGUAGUGUAGCGGUGAAAUGCAUAGAUAUUACUUAGAACACCAAUUGCGAAGGCAGGUCACUAAGAUUUAACUGACGCUGAUGGACGAAAGCGUGGGGAGCGAACAGG
rnacentral:rRNA from 1 species